UACGUAGGGUGCGAGCGUUGUCCGGAUUUAUUGGGCGUAAAGGGCUCGUAGGCGGUUUGUCGCGUCGGGUGUGAAAUCCUACUGCUUAACGGUGGGCUUGCAUUCGGUACGGGCAGACUGGAGUGUGGCAGGGGGAGACUGGAAUUCCUGGUGUAGCGGUGGAAUGCGCAGAUAUCAGGAGGAACACCGGUGGCGAAGGUGGGUCUCUGGGCCAUUACUGACGCUGAGGAGCGAAAAGCGUGGGGGAGCGAACAGG
rnacentral:rRNA from 1 species